UAAUACGUAGGUGGCAAGCGUUGUCCGGAAUUAUUGGGCGUAAAGCGCGCGCAGGCGGUUCCUUAAGUCUGAUGUGAAAGCCCACGGCUCAACCGUGGAGGGUCAUUGGAAACUGGGGGACUUGAGUGCAGAAGAGGAGAGCGGAAUUCCACGUGUAGCGGUGAAAUGCGUAGAGAUGUGGAGGAACACCAGUGGCGAAGGCGGUUCUCUGGUCUGUAACUGACGCUGAGGCGCGAAAGCGUGGGGAGCAAACAGGAUUAGAUACCCUGGUAGUCCACGCCGUAAACGAUGAGUGCUAAGUGUUAGAGGGUAUCCACCCUUUAGUGCUGUAGCUAACGCAUUAAGCACUCCGCCUGGGGAGUACGCUCGCAAGAGUG
rnacentral:rRNA from 1 species